UCCCUGGUGGCCUAGUUAAGGUUAAGGUUUCAGCAUUGUCACUGCUGUGGCUUGGGUUCGAUCCCUGGCCCAGGAA
rnacentral:tRNA from 1 species